rnacentral:lncRNA from 1 species
UCAGAAAAACGCACCGAUGAAAGGUGGAAACAGAAGAAUCAAGGAGAUAAAUCAUAUAAACAACCCUUCUGCAAUUCAACCUUCGGAUCAAAUAAUUAACGACCCAACAAAGAAAAGAAGAAGAAAAGAUCAAAUUAAACAAAAGGGUGUUGGAAAAAUCAAAUUUUUUUGAUGUGGGUUGUUGAAAUUGCAGAAGGUGAAGAUGAAAAUGAAGAAGAUGAGAUAAGGGUUAAGGGUGUGAUUGUGAAGUUGAAGAAUAAGGAUGCAUGUGUUUAUGUGUGCCCACAAUAACAUUAACAUCUGUCAAAUGUUUAUGUUUAAAAAACUAAAAUACACAAAUUUUAGCAUUAGCCUCAUCAUUCCCACCGCACACACACCCACUUGCUUUGCCAUCAAUUUUUUCAUGUAAUUAUCAUAGUGUAAUUAAUUAAAAACGCUAAUU